rnacentral:rRNA from 1 species
AACGAACGCUGGCGGCAGGCCUAACACAUGCAAGUCGAGCGCCCUUUCGGGGGAGCGGCGGACGGGUGAGUAACGCGUGGGAAUAUGCCCUUCUCUACGGAAUAGCCUCGGGAAACUGAGAGUAAUACCGUAUACGCCCUGUGGGGGAAAGAUUUAUCGGGGAAGGAUUAGCCCGCGUUGGAUUAGGUAGUUGGUGGGGUAAUGGCCUACCAAGCCGACGAUCCAUAGCUGGUUUGAGAGGAUGAUCAGCCACACUGGGGCUGAGACACGGCCCAGACUCCUACGGAGGGCAGGAGUGGGGAAUAUUAGACAAUGGGGGCAACCCUGAUCUAGCCAUGCGGGGUGAGUGAUGAAGGCCUUAGGGUUGUAAAGCUCUUUCAGCUGGGAAGAUAAUGACGGUACCAGCAGAAGAAGCCCCGGCUAACUCCGUG